rnacentral:tRNA from 1 species
AGCACAGUCAGCUAACCUAAGCUUUUGGGCCCAUACCCCAAAAAUGUUGGCCACAACCAACCUAUGCUA